UGAUUUUAUGUCCUAUUUCUUAGUGGUUC
rnacentral:piRNA from 1 species